rnacentral:rRNA from 1 species
GAUGAACGCUAGCGGCAGGCCUAAUACAUGCAAGUCGAACGGGAUUAGGGAGCUUGCUCCCUGUGAGAGUGGCGCACGGGUGCGUAACACGUAUGCAACCUACCUUCAACUGGGGGAUAGCCUUCCGAAAGGAAGAUUAAUACCGCAUAACAUAAUUGAAUGGCAUCAUUUGAUUAUCAAACGUCAGGGUUGAAGAUGGGCAUGCGUCCGAUUAGCUAGUUGGUGUGGUAACGGCACACCAAGGCGACGAUCGGUAGGGGAUCUGAGAGGAUGACCCCCCACACUGGUACUGGGACACGGACCAGACUCCUACGGGAGGCAGCAGUAAGGAAUAUUGGUCAAUGGACGCAAGUCUGAACCAGCCAUGCCGCGUGCAGGAAGACGGUCCUCUGGAUUGUAAACUGCUUUUGUUAGGGAAGAAACCCUCGGAUGCGUCCGGGGCUGACGGUACCUAAAGAAUAAGGAUCGGCUAACUCCGUGCCAGCCGCCGCGGUAAUAC